rnacentral:rRNA from 1 species
AUUGAACGCUGGCGGCAGGCCUAACACAUGCAAGUCGAGCGGAUGAAGGGAGCUUGCUCCUGGAUUCAGCGGCGGACGGGUGAGUAAUGCCUAGGAAUCUGCCUGGUAGUGGGGGAUAACGUCCGGAAACGGGCGCUAAUACCGCAUACGUCCUGAGGGAGAAAGUGGGGGAUCUUCGGACCUCGCGCUAUCAGAUGAGCCUAGGUCGGAUUAGCUAGUUGGUGGGGUAAAGGCCUACCAAGGCGACGAUCCGUAACUGGUCUGAGAGGAUGAUCAGUCACACUGGAACUGAGACACGGUCCAGACUCCUACGGGAGGCAGCAGUGGGGAAUAUUGGACAAUGGGCGAAAGCCUGAUCCAGCCAUGCCGCGUGUGUGAAGAAGGUCUUCGGAUUGUAAAGCACUUUAAGUUGGGAGGAAGGGCAGUAAGUUAAUACCUUGCUGUUUUGACGUUACCAACAGAAUAAGCACCGGCUAACUUCGUU